UUGGGGCCAAAGCUGGGGUAUUCAUUUUUGAUUCCUAUUUGAUGACUUCCCUCUGGCAAGGAACCCACAAGGGAGGGUUAAGAAAGUUGGACUUGUCAAAACAUGAGGUGGCAGCCGGAGCUGUCUGUGACGGGGCACACUGGACCCUCAUUAUCAUGUAUCUGAACGAGAACCGGUCACUGUUCUUGGACCCAUUCGGGGCCAAGGAAAAGCAGUUAAGCCGAUGCAAAGAUUUA